GAUGAACGCUAGCGGGAGGCUUAACACAUGCAAGUCGAGGGGCAGCAUAGGGUAGCAAUACUCUGAUGGCGACCGGCAAACGGGUGAGUAACGCGUAUGCAACCUACCCUGUACAGGGGGAUAACCCGGAGAAAUUCGGACUAAUAUCCCGUAAUAAUAUCCGGAGGCAUCUUUGGAUAUUUAAAGUUCCGACGGUACGGGAUGGGCAUGCGUAACAUUAACUGGUUGGUAAGGUAACGGCUUACCAAGGCUAUGAUGUUUAGGGGUCCUGAGAGGGUGGUCCCCCACACUGGUACUGAGACACGGACCAGACUCCUACGGGAGGCAGCAGUGAGGAAUAUUGGUCAAUGGGCGCAAGCCUGAACCAGCCAUCCCGCGUGCAGGAAGACGGCCCUAUGGGUUGUAAACUGCUUUUCCAGGGAGAGAAACUUACGCACGUGUUGCGUGACUGACGGUACCCUGGGAAUAAGCAUCGGCUAACUCCGUGCCCAGCAGCCGCGGUACACGAGAGUA
rnacentral:rRNA from 1 species